rnacentral:rRNA from 1 species
AGCGAACGCUGGCGGCAGGCCUAACACAUGCAAGUCGAACGGACCCUUCGGGGUUAGUGGCGGACGGGUGAGUAACACGUGGGAACGUGCCUUUAGGUUCGGAAUAGCUCCUGGAAACGGGUGGUAAUGCCGAAUGUGCCCUUCGGGGAAGAUUUAUCGCCUUUAGAGCGGCCCGCGUCUGAUUAGCUUGUUGGUGAGGU